rnacentral:rRNA from 1 species
GAUGAACGCUGGCGGCGUGCCUAAUACAUGCAAGUCGAGCGAACGGACGAGAAGCUUGCUUCUCUGAUGUUAGCGGCGGACGGGUGAGUAACACGUGGAUAACCUACCUAUAAGACUGGGAUAACUUCGGGAAACCGGAGCUAAUACCGGAUGAUAUUUUGAACCGCAUGGUUCAAAAGUGAAAGACGGUCUUGCUGUCACUUAUAGAUGGAUCCGCGCUGCAUUAGCUAGUUGGUAAGGUAACGGCUUACCAAGGCAACGAUGCAUAGCCGACCUGAGAGGGUAAUCGGCCACACGGGAACUGAGACACGGUCCAGACUCCUGCGGGAGGCAGCAGUAGGGAAUCUUCCGCAAUGGGCGAAAGCCUGACGGAGCAACGCCGCGUGAGUGAUGAAGGUCUUCGGAUCGUAAAACUCUGUUAUUAGGGAAGAACAUAUGUGUAAGUAACUGUGCACAUCUUGACGGUACCUAAUCAGAAAGCCACGGCUAACUACGUG